rnacentral:rRNA from 1 species
UACGUAGGGUGCGAGCGUUAGUCGGAAUUACUGGGCGUAAAGCGUGCGCAGGCGGUUUUGUAAGACAGAUGUGAAAUCCCCGGGCUUAACCUGGGAACUGCAUUUGUGACUGCAAGACUAGAGUACGGCAGAGGGGGGUAGAAUUCCACGUGUAGCAGUGAAAUGCGUAGAUAUGUGGAGGAAUACCGAUGGCGAAGGCAGCCCCCUGGGUCGAUACUGACGCUCAUGCACGAAAGCGUGGGGAGCAAACAGG